rnacentral:tmRNA from 1 species
GGGGGUGAACGGUUUCGACUCCGGAUGCGGACCAAGGGGAAGCGUGCCGAGGAAGGCGACGAUGAUCUCGAAAACCAUACGUCGCAAAACAACAAGUGCCGCUAAUACGCGCACUGCCUCGGUUCAGGCUCAGAGCGACUUCGCUCUCGCCGCCUGAUCCAGUAAGGGGCUGUCGGCCCGGGUGUGUUCCCGACCCGGAGCCCGGCAUCAGCUAGGGGACUCACCCGUUCACCCGGUCGCGGGGUGCACGGGGACAACCAACAGCGACUGGGAUCGUCACACCGGCUCGUCCGCAUGACCGGUGGAUCCGAGUAGAGGCAGAGCGGACUGCGCACGGAGAAGCCCUUGUGAAGUGACGGAGGACCCGGGUUCGAUUCCCGGCACCUCCACUC